rnacentral:rRNA from 1 species
AUUGAACGCUGGCGGCAUGCCUUACACAUGCAAGUCGAACGGUAACAGGUUAAGCUGACGAGUGGCGAACGGGUGAGUAAUGUAUCGGAACGUGCCCAGUCGUGGGGGAUAACUGCUCGAAAGAGCAGCUAAUACCGCAUACGACCUGAGGGUGAAAGCGGGGGAUCGCAAGACCUCGCGCGAUUGGAGCGGCCGAUAUCAGAUUAGGUAGUUGGUGGGGUAAAGGCCUACCAAGCCUACGAUCUGUAGCUGGUCUGAGAGGACGACCAGCCCGACUGGGACUGAGACACGGCCCAGACUCCAACGGGAGGCAGCAGUGGGGAAUUUUGGACAAUGGACGCAAGUCUGAUUCAGCCAUGCCGCGUGCGGGAAGAAGGCCUUCGGGUUGUAAACCGCUUUUGUCAGGGAAGAAAAGGGUGUUUCUAAUAAAGACGCCUCAUGACGGUACCUGAAGAAUAAGCACCGGCUAACUACGUGCCAGCCGCCGCCGUAACAC